UACAGAGGGUGCAAGCGUUAAUCGGAGUUACUGGGCAUAAAGGGCGCGUAGGCGGUUGAUUAAGUUGGAUGUGAAAUCCCUGGGCUUAACCUAGGAACUGCAUUCAAAACUGAUUGACUGGAGUACUGUAGAGGGUAGUGGAAUUUCCGGUGUAGCGGUGAAAUGCGUAGAGAUCGGAAGGAACACCAGUGGCGAAGGCGGCUACCUGGACAGAUACUGACGCUGAGGCGCGAGAGCGUGGGGAGCCAAAGGG
rnacentral:rRNA from 1 species